rnacentral:rRNA from 1 species
UCUAACUUGGGGCCAGCGGCAGGGUGAAUACGAGGGGUGCAAGCGUUAGUCGUAAUUACGGUGCGUAAAGCGUGCGUAGGUGGGCUGUUAAGGCCGUUGUGAAAGCCCGGGGCUCAACCUGGGAACGGCAGUGGAUACUGGAAGGCUAGAGUGCGGUAGAGGGUAGUGGAAUUCCCGGUGUAGCAGUGAAAUGCGUAGAGAUCGGGAGGAACACCAGUGGCGAAGGCGGCUACCUGGACCAGCACUGACACUGAGGCACGAAAGCGUGGGGAGCAAACAGGAUUAGAUACCCUGGUAGUC